AAAGUUGAUGUUAGUUUAUUUUCAUUUCAGGUAGAUUUGUUUAAACUUUUUUUAUGCUGUGAUAAAUUAUUCGUAAAUAUUUAUACCCGUUUAAUGAUUUAUUCUCUUUUUUCACCCCACAGGCUACGAGGUCUGUGGGUAUAAAAUAUUUUUGUUUAUCUGUUUUUAUAUAAGGGUUAAAGUUACCCCUAUGUAGUAAUUGUGUUAUAACUUUUGUUAGUUUGCUUAUUAAAUUUUUUUUGUUGUCAUUGAUAUUUAAUCUUUAGUUUUAUUUUAUGGUUAAAUAAGUAAUUUUAUUAUAAGUUGUGUUUCUAAAGAAUCGCCUGUCUGUUUAUUAAAAACAUUUCCACCCGUUAAAUAUUGGUGGUAUUACCUGCUCUAUGCUUAGGUAAAUGGCCGCAGUAUUUUGACUGUGCGAAGGUAGCAUAAUUAAUUGCCUUAUAAUUGAAGGCUUGUUUGAAUGGUUUGACAAGGUGAUGUUAAACAUGAUUUAUAUUUUUGAACUUAAUAGUAGGGGCACAGAAUCCCUACGUGUUAAUUAGACGGAAAGACCCCGGGAUCUUUGUUUUUUGUCUGGGGCAGAUCACUAUGUUUCAUAAGUGAAUUAGACCCUAAUGGUACAUUGGUGUAAGUUACCCCGGGGAUAACAGUGUAAUAGUUUAUUAGAGAUCAUAUCGAAUUUACUGAUUGCCACCUCGAUGUUGACUUAGGUUUAAGUUUGGGCGCAGUAGUUCAAAUUUAUGGUCUGUUCG
rnacentral:rRNA from 1 species